GGAAGAUUAGCUCAGUUGGUCAGAGUAUGAUGCUAAAAACACCAAGACUGUGGGUUCAAUCCCUGUGCGGACCA